rnacentral:rRNA from 1 species
CAGUCGCCGCGGUAAUACAGAGGAUGCAAGCGUUAUCCGGAAUGAUUGGGCGUAAAGCGUCUGUAGGUGGCUUUUCAAGUCCGCCGUCAAAUCCCAGGGCUCAACCCUGGACAGGCGGUGGAAACUACCAAGCUGGAGUACGGUAGGGGCAGAGGGAAUUUCCAGUGGAGCGGUGAAAUGCGUUGAGAUCGAAAAGAACACCAACAGCGAAAGCACUCUGCUGGGACGACACUGACACUAAGAGACGAAAGCUAGGGGAGCAAAUGGGAUUAGAUACCCCUGUAGUCCCUGUCUCUUAUAC